rnacentral:lncRNA from 1 species
UGCUUUAUACUACUUAGUGGAAUUUGACAUCAUCUAAUUCAAUUGGACAAGGACACCUUUAACACUGCCAAUGAAUUACUUUAUUAACACAAAUGGACAAGAUCACCUUGGUUCUCACUUUUUGGAAAAUCCUUUUUAUUUAUCUCCAUUCAUGAAGGAUUUUGGAAUAACCAAGACCCAUUUGUUGUGGUGUCUUGUGAAAUCGGCAUCUUUGAGUACAACUAACUCAAACGAGCUGACUGUAUCCUGUCAUUUAGCUAACCGAGCGUGGUAAAUGACUACUUGUAUUUAUAUGAGCACAGACUUCUAAUUCCAGGCAUGGAUGUAAUUCUAUUUAGUUCCGAUCAUCAACAUUUUAUUGGCUUGGUUGGAUGGGCCUCUUGAGUUGCAUAUAUUGACCAACAAAAUCUAUUGGAGUGAUCACGCCGUAUGAGAAUAUUCCAAAAGCAUAUUCUGGAAGACCUGGCCACUGAGGUACGAUGAUACAAGAUUUAUAUUCACCUUCUUGAUGGCCAUGACUGAUUUGUUUUUUUUAUUUUUUAUUUUCAGGAAAUGUUGAAUGAUGGAGGGUAGAAACCAUGUACAAGGAUUGAUUAUGAAGCUGAAAGCCUAAAAUAGUUUAUGUUGUGUUUCACAGUUAUUUGAGUUUUGUACCUUUUCUUAUUCAAUUAAGUUAUCCUUUGGAGCUUUCUGACGCAAAUGUCAUUUUAAUUUGCUUUUCCACGUUAUAGAUUGGCAGUUUGUAAUUUUUUGAGGGAGGGUAAUCCUGAAUAUCUAUCACUUAUCGGAAGGCUCAAACUCUUUCUUAUGAGAUGACCUCAUCUGCCGCAACCUCCUCCGCCUAGAGACAGCAGCGCUUCUUUGGGUGGGAGAGGGAGAGCAUAGCGGCGAAAAUAGCAAAUGAACUGCCACAGAUAGCCGUGACAGUUGGCUCCAUCCAAUGACUCCAAUACAGCACGUGGG